AUUGAACGCUGGCGGCAGGCCUAACACAUGCAAGUCGAGCGGAUGAAGGAAGCUUGCUCCUGGAUUCAGCGGCGGACGGGUGAGUAAUGCCUAGGAAGCUGCCUUGUAGUGGGGGAUAACGUCCGGAAACGGGCGCUAAUACCGCAUACGUACUGAGUGAGAAAGUGGGGGAUCUUAGGACCUCACGCUAUCAGAUGAGCCUAGUUCGGAUUAGCUAGUUGGUUGGGUAAAUGCCUACCAAGGCGACGAUCCAUAACUGAACUGAGAGGGUGAUCAGUCACACUGGAACUGAGACACGGUCCAGACUCCUACGGGAGGCAGCAGUGGGGAAUAUUGGACAAUGGGCGAAAGCCUGACGCAGCAAUGCCGCGUGUGUGAAGAAGGUCUUCGGAUUGUAAAGCACUUUAAGUUGGGAGGAAGGGAAGUAAGUUAAUACCUUCCUGUCUUGACGUUACCAACAGAAUAAGCCACGGCUAACUUCGUG
rnacentral:rRNA from 1 species